rnacentral:rRNA from 1 species
CGGCGGACGGGUGAGUAACACGUGGAUAACCUACCUAUAAGACUGGGAUAACUUCGGGAAACCGGAGCUAAUACCGGAUAAUAUAUUGAACCGCAUGGUUCAAUAGUGAAAGACGGUUUUGCUGUCACUUAUAGAUGGAUCCGCGCCGCAUUAGCUAGUUGGUAAGGUAACGGCUUACCAAGGCAACGAUGCGUAGCCGACCUGAGAAGGUGAUCGGCCACACUGGAACUGAGACACGGUCCAG